GCCUGAUCCAGCAAUGCCGCGUGAGUGAAGAAGGCCUUCGGGUUGUAAAGCUCUUUUGUCAGGGAAGAAACGGGUGAGGCUAAUAUCCUUGCCUAAUGACGGUACCUGAAGAAUAAGCACCGGCUAACUACGUGCCAGCAGCCGCGGUAAUACGUAGGGUGCAAGCGUUAAUCGGAAUUACUGGGCGUAAAGCGUGCGCAGGCGGUUGUGCAAGACAGAUGUGAAAUCCCCGGGCUUAACCUGGGAAUUGCAUUUGUGACUGCACAGCUAGAGUGUGUCAGAGGGGGGUAGAAUUCCACGUGUAGCAGUGAAAUGCGUAGAUAUGUGGAGGAAUACCGAUGGCGAAGGCAGCCCCCUGGGAUAACACUGACGCUCAUGCACGAAAGCGUGGGGAGCAAACAGGAUUAGAUACCCUGGUAGUCCACGCCCUAAACGAUGUCUACUAGUUGUCGGGUCUUAAUUGACUUGGUAACGCAGCUAACGCGUGAAGUAGACCGCCUGGGGAGUACGGUCGCAAGAUUAAAACUCAAAGGAAUUGACGGGGACCCGCACAAGCGGUGGAUGAUGUGGAUUAAUUCGAUGCAACGCGAAAAACCUUACCUACCCUUGACAUGGUCGGAAUCCUGAAGAGAUUU
rnacentral:rRNA from 1 species